CCUACGGGGUGCAGCAGUGAGGAAUAUUGGUCAAUGGACGAGAGUCUGAACCAGCCAAGUAGCGUGAAGGAUGACUGCCCUAUGGGUUGUAAACUUCUUUUAUAUGGGAAUAAAAUGUUCCACGUGUGGGAUUUUGUAUGUACCAUAUGAAUAAGGAUCGGCUAACUCCGUGCCAGCAGCCGCGGUAAUACGGAGGAUCCGAGCGUUAUCCGGAUUUAUUGGGUUUAAAGGGAGCGUAGGUGGAUUGUUAAGUCAGUUGUGAAAGUUUGCGGCUCAACCGUAAAAUUGCAGUUGAAACUGGCAGUCUUGAGGACAGUAGAGGUGGGCGGAAUUCGUGGUGUAGCGGUGAAAGGCUUAGAUAUCACGAAGAACUCCGAUUGCGAAGGCAGCUCACUGGACUGCAACUGACACUGAGGCUCGAAAGUGUGGGUAUCAAACAGGAUUAGAUACCCGUAUAGUC
rnacentral:rRNA from 1 species